rnacentral:sRNA from 1 species
GUCACAGUCAAUCCUGUGAUCGGGCGUGAGAACCCGUAUCUACAUGCGCACAAAUACACGCAUAAGCGUGUUUUUU